CUGCAGUCGACGGAGUCGUUAUAAAAAGGAUUGAAGAUUUAUCUGAUUGAGAUUUUAUAACAAUGGCUUUAGUGGCGGACUGGUGAGUAACGCGUGAGCAACCUGCCUACUAGAGGGGAAUAACAGUGAGAAAUCAUUGCUAAUACCGCAUAUGCCAUGAACAUCACAUGAUGAAAAUGGGAAAAGAGUAAUCUGCUAGUAGAUGGGCUCGCGUCUGAUUAGAUAGUUGGUGGGGUAACGGCCUACCAAGUCGACGAUCAGUAGCCGGACUGAGAGGUUGAACGGCCACAUUGGGACUGAGAUACGGCCCAGACUCCUACGGGAGGCAGCAGUCGGGAAUAUUGCGCAAUGGAGGAAACUCUGACGCAGUGACGCCGCGUAUAGGAAGAAGGUUUUCGGAUUGUAAACUAUUGUCGUUAGGGAAGAUACAAGACAGUACCUAAGGAGGAAGCUCCGGCUAACUACGUGCCAGCAGCCGCGGUAAUACGUAGGGAGCAAGCGCUAUCCGGAUUUAUUGGGUGUAAAGGGUGCGUAGACGGGACAACAAGUUAGUUGUGAAAUCCCUCGGCUUAACUGAGGAACUGCACUAAAACUAUUGUUCUUGAG
rnacentral:rRNA from 1 species